GGAGGUGGAGCCCUGCGGUCCCGGAGGCGGGUUGUACCGUAGGCGGGGCUCUCUCGUAGGCUGGCCGGUCCUGGAGGAGAGGCUGUUCUGGCGGCGGGGCUGUCUUGGAGGCUAGGAGGUCUCGGAAACUGGGCUGUCCCGGAGGCGGGGCACAUGCUGGGGUGAGGCGGAGCCGACCCUGAGGCGGGCCCGGGGCGCGGCUACCGCUCCCUGAGCGACGCCCGUGGUCUCCCGUUCCAUCGGUGGACCCCACCUCGGGCCGUGCUGCGGGCUCUCGGGGCGCCUACCAGGUCGGCUCCAAGGCUACACAAGCAGCAAGAAGAAAAGGAAAAACUCUGUUUUAUUAAAGCUCCACUUGCCUAUCUACCUUGGUGGAGGGUCAAGAAAAGGUUUAUAACCUAUUUGUAGGUUUUUGCCUCCUGUUUGCAGCACAGAAACCACAGACAAUAGAAAUUCAGACUCAGUGGUGUGGUAGAAGAUAAAAUAAUUUGGGUUAUUUCUGUGAUAACAUGGGCAAUCUGGAAACUACUCCCAUUUGUGAGGAUAAAUCUCUAUUAUGAUACAUGGAAAAUAGGACAGAUGCUAAUUCAGCAAAAUAUGUUUCCCCUACUGGCUGCCCGCUGCAUGGCUGAUGAAGGACAGGAAGGCGCUCAGAGGCAGCAUGCACAGAAGGUUUGCUUGGAGCACCCACCCACUGAGAUCUGCACGUCGGCAACAAUCCUCUGAGGCAGGCGCAAAGGGAAGGGCUCAGCUCCCAGUCGCGCCACAGCCUGCAUCACCUCAUCCCAGAGGCGGAGCAGCGGCUCAGGGUUCUCCAGAGUACGAAGAUUUGCGGUCGGCACGGUCAGAAUGAUGUUGUCCGUGGCCAGCUCUCCCCAGGGCCCUGGAUUCUCCUGGAUACGCCUCUUCCACUCCUCCAGGGUGGUCUCCCCUAGGAAGAGAGACCAUGGAGCUUGAAAUCCUUUCCCAAAUCCCUUAAAUUACAACAUACAACUUAGACUCCAGGAAGAGAACAACAAAAUCAUGAACUGCCAUAUCCCUCCUCUUUUUUUAAAAAUGUAAAGUUCUGGGAUACAUGUGCAGGACGUGCAGGUUUGUUCCAUAGGUAAACAUGUGUGAUGGUGGUUUGCUGCACCCAUCAACCCAUCACCUAGGUAUUAAGCCCAGCAUGCAUUAGCUAUUUAUCCUGAUGGUCUCUCUCCAUCCACCCCCGCUACCCACCCCACUGACAGGCCCCAGUGUGUGCUGUUCCCCUCCCUGUGUCCAUGUGUUCUUAUUGUUCAGCUCCCACUUACAAGUGAGAACACGUGGUGUUUGGUUUUC